AUAGAUUAGGUUGCAAGAUAAAUUUCUAAAGUUCUACUAGCUUAGGUACAAAUUAUUUUUCAGAAAUCAAACAUGCAAAAUUUCUAUGCAUGUUUUGAAAUUGGUUGUAGGAAGUGGGCUUCCAAGUCUUAACAAUAAUGGAGACUAUGAAAUCAGGGUAACCAAUUAGGGGUAACUAUAUAUUUCAAAAACGCAAAUUUUACACACACACACACAUUCUGUAAAGAAUCAGUUUUGAUUGGCACAGAUGAAGAUGAACAAUAAGAGGGUUUUCUAUUCAAAUUUACUUUUUGUAAUUUUAGGGGUUUUGAUCUUACAUGUGUAUUUAAUUUGGUUUUGUUUUCAGUUUCAGGAGACUCUGGUUUUUCGUUUUUUGGGCCUUUUCUUUGCAGCCUAGAAAGCCCUCUGUGCUCAAGAUCACCAGCAAUAAUCUCAUCAAGGUCCCAGGAGGAAUCACGAGGAUUCACUGCCGAAUUGACCAGAUGAAAAAAGAGGGAAACAUGGAUUAUAUAUGCACGAAGGGCACCACAACAAA